rnacentral:sRNA from 1 species
UGACAUCUCCAAAUAUCGGGCAGCGAAAUCCAGUGAAAUAUCCCUCUCAAUUACUCCGUGCAGGUCGUUAUGAUGUGUCCCAAUGCGCUAUCUGUGCUUUCUCUGCAAGAAUCCAAGUUGCUGCCCAUUGCCUCUGUCCAUUGAUUCCGCCAUUCUGGCUGAAACCCCAAUCCAAGCACAGGUUUCCCACUUUCCCAGACACCGGAUUCUCUCAUCGUCAUAAAAAGACUAUCUAUCCAACCAGCCACACAUCAAACAGGAACUUCAUUCCUUCUUCAAAGUUCUUCUCCAUGACUUGUUUCAUGCAAAAGCGAGCGGGAGAUUUUCCCUUCGAAGGUGUCUGGGUUGCUUCCAUGGACGCAUCUUGCGCUGUCUUGUGCGCUAAACAGACAGCCCUGUCCUGGCGUAGUUUACUUUGCAUUUACCAAGCCCCAUGUCGGGCCAACAACGGUGC